UUUUUUUUUUUUUUUUUUGUCUUUUUGCCAUUUCUUGGACCGCUCCCGUGGCAUAUGGAGGUUCCCAGGCUAGGGGUCGAAUCGGAGCUGUAGCCUCCGGCCUACGCCAGAGCCACAGCAAUGCGGGAUCCGAGCCGCGUCUGCAACCUACACCACAGCUCACGACAGCACGGGAUCGUUAACCCACUGAGCAAGGGCAGGGAUCGAACCCGAAACCUCAUGGUUCAUAGUCGGAUUCGUUAACCACUGCGCCACGAUGGGAACUCCUGUAGUAGCAGUUUUAACCAUCCAGUGAUAGAUACUCCUUCAUGAUAAGGAAAUCUUCGUGUGCAUUAAUUCCAAAAAUAAUUGCUGUGAAUGUUGUUGUAUUUUAAUAAUAUAUACAGCUGCAAAUUAGUGCUUUUGUACUUACUCUUAAUAAAUAUUUCACUCUACACGGAUUUCAGUUAGAAGAACUUUUAGUUACUCAGUUCUUUUCUGCUCCCUCUGCCCACUUCUGCUGUGGAUCCAUCAGUCAUACAUGUCUGCUUAGUGAUAAAUCCCAAAACAUUAGUAGUCACUCCAGUGAAUCCCUGUGAUGCUGUGUAUUCCUGCAUUUAAACAGUAGGUUCAAGUCAAAAGAAGCAAAGAUAAUGCACUGAUUAUGCUGAUGAAGAAACAGUACUUCAGAUACCCCAAUUCUUCCAUUCUCUAUGACAACUGGGAAUUUUUGCGUUAAAUUUUAAAACAGUGAAUCAGAGGGCAAACUGUGAUACAUAAUAUUUUGCUAGUGCCUUUUAUUCCUACAUGAAAUAUUCUGACUUUGCAUAAUAACCCUCAAAUGAAAUUUUAUAGUUUAAGUUAUUGACUGUUUUAAAACCAAGGAAUGAGACAGGAAAAUCAUUAUUAUUAUGUGAUUAAUUCUUUAAAAAUUUGGCUUAUGGAGGUCAAGAUAUCACAGAAGUGAUCAGCUCCUGGUGUCAAGUGUGCUAGUUAUGCUCCUCCUCUGGCGUUCCAUCCAUUAGAUGCCACUGCUCUUGGCAGUACAGUCUGUUGAAGGGUGAUAGUUCUGCUCAGCACAUUCGUGGAGAUGGUUUCUGUGGCUCCCAGGCAUUCAUGUUCUGCCUAUGAACCAAAUAGCCAAUUUUCUGCCUUGCUGUAGGCCACAUGAGAGCCAUGGGUAAAUGCUGUCCCCUCCUUAUUCCAGUGUUGGGGCAGGCCAUUCCCCUUCCUCUUAUUCCCAGAUACUGCACCCUUCCUGAGUAAUUCUGCUUUUUGCUUAGGUUUUUGAAAACAAAAUUCUCAUAGCACAGUCCAGGGGCAGAGAAAGCUCAACUGUCUUUUUUGUUUUUGCUUGGGUAUCAUUGAAAGUAGAUGGUUCAGAUGGGAACAGAAAUUGGAGUCACGUAUCUCAUUGUUUUGUCCUGAGCCUGUAGAAAUAUGAAACACAGUUAAUUUUUCUCUUGGGUUAUCUUGCCACAUUAGUCAAGAGUACCGUUAGAAUAGUAUUUAAGCAGCAAUUCUUGUGAGUUCUAUCAAUUUAGAGAAGUAAAAACAAUCGCAUUUGUAGUACUCUUAAAUCACACAAGCCAGGAAAUAUAUUCCACUUGAGUCGCUGAGUUUGUUAAUUACAAUUUGGCUUCAUUUCUGUGGGCUGUGGCAGUGUUCAUCACUAAUUAUAUCAUUGUCCUAUGUUCUUGUCAGUAUAACACUUUAUUGUGUGUAAUCUGGGUGAUGGUGUUCCUUUGAAGAUGACAAAAAAAAAAGAAAAUCACAUUUUUGUAAGCCAGAAUUCAUCGAUGAAACCACAGGGUAUUAACUGAGCAUCCAGUUGUGUGUAAUGUUAUUCAAGGUGCUUACAUCACCCUAUGGAUUGCUGGCGAUGUGUCUCAGGAUGCUGUCGUCUCCAACACAGCCCUCUGUUUUCCUUCAGAACCCAGUGGCUAGUCACAUUGAUGGUUACUUUUUUUUUCAUGCGCAUGUAGAAAACAAGUUACUAAGCCUCAGAAGUUAUCCCUGGAGAUUCUCUUAGGUCUGCUGAGCUCAGCAAGAGAAGAAAAACCUUCUUUAAGGGUAGGACUGGGAGCCCUGGGUGGAUACCCAACACAGGCCAGAUGCAUCCUUAGUCUCUGACUCCAGGUGGUGCCAAAUUAAUCAUCACAACCAAUUAUUCUCUGUACUGACUCUAGCACCCAUUCCCCAACCACUGCUGCUUUUCUUUGCAGCCUCUGUAUCGUUGCCUGCUUAGCACAGAAUGAUUUUUCUUGAGACAUUAGUUCCCUUCCUCUGCCUUUCCUUUUCCCCCUCAUUGAAUGAACGAAUGAACAACAAAUUAAGUUUGCUCUUCUGCCAGCUGGUUUUCUCUGUUCCGUGGCCUUGUGGUAGAACAUGCCUGCAGAGAGUGCUUAAAUUUUAGUAUUUUGGUUUUGGGUAUACAGAGGGCACCUCAGUCCUACUGAGCUUAAAAUCAGAUGCCUCAGAAGGUGAAAGGGCCAUCUUUUGUCUAUAUAUCUAUCUGCGUUGUUUAGGUAGAAUCUUUGAAUUAGCUUGGUGGCCCCAUGCUAUAAAGACAUGGCUGUGGAUAAGGGUGAGGGGUAGGGAAUAAUUUCUCCAGAGGAAGUUCUGGACAGAAAUCCCCACAGUUUUUACCACUCCUACAUCCUUCUUGUACAUAACAUUGGUUCUUGUCUCAGGUUCAAUACAGCAAGUCCCCCUUGCCCAUCCUAGGGCCCAUUAGUUUGCCUCCCUCUACUCUAUCAGUAGUCACAGAUAGUGACUUUUCUAGCUCCCCUUCUCCACUAGCUGGGUUCCACCUCCUCAGCUUCUGUAGCAAUAACUGAGGUUAAUUUGCUUUUAACUCUUCAGUUUCUAGUGCAGCUGUCCUAAGCUCUUUGUAUUCCAACAGUGCCCUUUUUUUGGGGGGGGGGUCACAUAUGCAGAAUUUCCAGGGCCAGGGAUUGAACCUGUGCCACAGCAAUGACCCAAAACACUGCAGUGACAACAAUGGAUACUUAACCCAUCAAGCCACCAGGGAACUCCUCAACAGUGCCUUUUUGUUUCUGCCUUCUCUUGUUAGAUACAAGUGAAUUUUCCUUUUCACAAAUGCUGGAGCUCAGGGGCUUGAUCCUGGAACUGCUAGUUAGAAUUUAAAUUCCAUUUCUUCACGGAAAUAGUUUUUGUCAGAGUUGAAGUAAUGCUUAAGUAGGACAUAUCUGGGGCAUUUUGUUUCAAAUAGACUUUUUAUAGGCUGACAUAAGAGUCCAAAUACAAUUUAUAACAUCAACUCUGAAAUGAUGGUUCCUGUAGACUUGAUUAUCAUCUUAGAAGUAGAUUUUUCUGGGGAACAAAACCCAUUUGUAAAUUAGAAACCCUCUGAUAAUUCAUAUACAGUUUUGGCUUUAUGCUCUAGCCUAUACCACUAUGGGCUGUCAUGUUCAGAACAAAGGUUAAAAAAAAAAGACAUCAAAACAAGGCAUAAAUAGGCAAAGUCCUAGUUGUUCAACCAAGUACAAGCUCACUUGCAAGUAUAAAAAAGCACAUGCUCAGUACAAGCUUAAAGUAGGAGAAUCGACAAGAUGAAUUUCAUACCUCAGGAUUUGUCAAAGAGGCAUAGACACUGGCAUUUGGAGUGUAUAUAGAAAGGACUGCAGUUGGAAGGAGGAGUGAGGGCUGUGGUAUUAGACCUUUCUAGUCAGUCAUGGCAAAAAUUGGCGUGGGAAAUGGUCACUGUCAGUCACAGACCACAGAGAAUAUAGGAAGCCCCCAACAGCUGGGGCACUCACGGGUGAUGAAUCCAGGGCAGGAAUAAUAGCUUGGAAGGUAGGGUUGUCAUUAUCAAGGCAUCUCUCCCAGGCUGGGGUUAUGAAUGGGGACCCCAAGCAAAAUCUCAAGAAUGAAGCAGGCUCUCUAAUGGUGAGAAGCUUGGUCCUUGGAAAUAAAAUCAAGAGGGAAGAGGAGAAUGUAUUGGGGAGAAGAGAUGUUUAUUGAGUCACAGGAGCCCCAUUAUCAGAAUGAGGCAUUGGACAGGGAAUGGUGAUGACCUGCAAACUAGGGCCCCAGGGAGAAGCCCAGAUGCUAGUGCUGAAUCUCCACAUUUUGGGCCCACCAUUCACCUGUGCGUUAAACUAGUCUCCUGAGGACAAGAAAUGACUGGCAGGUCUUCUUUAUUCCUAGGACCCUGCCAAGAUCCAAGUACAUAGCAUCCUGCUUUCCCUUCUGUUGCCUAGCAACAGCCACCUCCUUGAUUACUGGAGUUGUCAUAGUUUUUCUGUAUCUAUAUACUCUGAAACUAAGUACACAAAGCCUACAAGGAAGAAGGCAAAGUCCUAGUUGUUCAACCAAGUACAAGCUCACUUACAAGUAUAAGAAAGCACAUGCUCAGUACAAGCUCAGAGAAGGAGAAUCAACAAGACGAAUUUCUUGCUGAAUCCAAAAAUGGAGCAGGAGGCAGAGGGAGAGGGGAAGAAGGACAUUCUAAGGACUUUGUAAAUCCUAGAAUUAUCAGAAACAGAGGGAGAGAGAAAAAAUAAAAUUCAGAUAACCUUAUUUUAAAUAAUAGAUGAUAUAUUUUAAACAUACAUUAAAAACAUUUCUUCAUCAAUCAUUCUUUCUAGUACAGAAAUUAUUUAAUUAUUUCAAACACAAAGAAAAGCAUGCAGUUUGCCAUUCAAAAAGCCUAAAACUUUCCAGAUUAAAAUAAGUCAUAGAUGUUUCUCAAUAAUUCUAGUCAUUAAAUGCCAACAUUUAAAACUUUUGGGAGGAGUUAUCGUUGUGGCUUAUCACUAACGAAUCCUACUCGCAUCCAUGAGGAUGCGUGUUCAAUCCCUGGCAUCACUCAGUGGAUUAAGGAUCUGGCAUUACCAUGAGCUGUGGUGUAGGCUGGCAGCUACAGCUUCAAUUCGAACCCUAGACUGGGAACUUACAAACACUGCAGGUGGCAUCCCUAAAAAGUAAAAUAAUAAUAACGAUAAUAAUAAUAAUAGUAAUAAUAAAACUGCUGAGAAAUCCAGUUUUCUGUAAAGUAGAACAAAAAUGAAAUGAGCUGUCAACCAUAUGACAUAAUGCAUCAGACAGUUUUAGAAAGUCAAGAUGGAAAACACUCUACCUUCAGUGUCAAGCCUGGGUCUAGAGUCACUGGGCUUAAGAGAAGAGCAGCAAUUUUAAAGAGUUAGUGUGUCUUUGCAUUAAAGCCCUUAAACUAUAUAUUCAUCUGUCAAAGCCUAUUGGAAAACACACUUGCAUUUUUUCUUCUUUUAAAUCAGGGAUGUUGAAUCUUCUUUUAUUAUUAGGUAUCACUGACACUCCCUCCAAAAUCAACAUUCUCAUGUAGAGAAAAAAUGUACAUAGUUCUUUGGGUCUAUGUGGUUUUUAAAAGUAUAAUUAUUUUGUUUACACAAAGGAACUUGUACCACUUCAAUCACCACUUAUAUAUUCAAUGAGCUAUAUCUAAAAAGAGAAAUCUUUCUGGCAUGGUUAGUGCAGAUAAAAGUUGAAGCAGGGAAGAAGGGACAGAGGAGGAAAGUGGGAGAGGGAAGGAGGGCAAAAAAGGUGGAAAGGGGUGAGUACUUCGAAACGAGAGACUCAGCAGGAACCUGGCUUUCACGUCUACCAGGCAAUCAGGGCCUCAGAUACAUGUCCGAGAAAAUUAUUGUUAUUACCAUCCCUUGAAGUUUUUAUUUCCAUCUUGCAGUAGAAAUUAUUGCCUGGUUCCAUUUUUAAACUUCAAAGUGUACUUUCUCAAGGAAUUAUUACGAUUUUUUUCCUCCCUGGGGGAUCAUCUAAGGAUGUGGUUGGUUUACUUAAAAAUAUUAGAAGGGUGGUCCAGUUCACAUAGCUAUCAGCACACAAG
rnacentral:lncRNA from 1 species